rnacentral:rRNA from 1 species
GUAGGGAAUAUUGGACAAUGGGUGCGAGCCUGAUCCAGCCAUGCCGCGUGCAGGAAGACGGCCUUCUGGGUUGUAAACUGCUUUUGCCAGGGGAUAAAACGUCCAUGCGUGGAUAAUUGAAGGUACCUGGUGAAUAAGCCACGGCUAACUACGUGCCAGCAGCCGCGGUAAUACGUAGGUGGCAAGCGUUGUCCGGAUUUAUUGGGUUUAAAGGGUGCGUAGGCGGUUUUAUAAGUCAGUGGUGAAAUACAACAGCUUAACUGUUGAGGUGCCAUUGAUACUGUAAGACUUGAGUACAGACGAGGUAGGCGGAAUUGACGGUGUAGCGGUGAAAUGCUUAGAUAUCGUCAAGAACACCGAUAGCGAAGGCAGCUUACUAGACUGUAACUGACGCUGAGGCACGAAAGUGUGGGGAUCAAACAGGAUUAGAAACCCGAGUAGUCC